AGUGAAACGAUUGACAACGC
rnacentral:snRNA from 1 species